UGCGGUUAAACAAAUAACACUAUUAUUUUUUUUCGGUUUUUAAUAUUUAGUUAAUAAUAAUAAAUUUUUAUUUAUUUUAAUAUUGGGUGAAAUCCUAUUUUUUAUUUAAUUAGUUUUUUGUUUCUGAAGCUAAGAAAUCUAGAUUAAAAACUGGGAUUAGAUACCCCAUUAUUCUGGGUGUAGAGGUUACUAACCUAAUUAAUAUAAGUUAUGUUCUUUAAAAUUAAAAAAUUUGGCGGUGUUUUAUUCCAAUCAGGGGAAUCUGUUCUGUAAUCGAUAGUCCACGAUUAAUAUAACUUAUUUUUGCUUGUAUAUCGUCGUUGUUAAUUAUUUUUAGAAAUAUAUAAUUUUUUAAUUUUAUUUUAUGUUAAAUCAGAUCAAGGUGCAGUUGUUUAUAAGUAGUAAUGGAUUACAAUAAAUUUAUUUAAGGAUUGAUCUUAUAAUUAAGGUCGUGAAUUUGGAUUUGAAUGUAAUUUUGAUUUUUAAUCAAGGUGAAUUAGGCUCUAAAAUGUGU
rnacentral:rRNA from 1 species